rnacentral:lncRNA from 10 species
GAAGCUUUCAGACUUGGACUGAGCUGCGACUGGCUUCUCUCUUCCCCAGCUUGCAGAAGGCCUAUCGUGGUCCUGUGCCUUGUGAUCAUGGUCUCACUCUGUCACCCAGACUGGAGUGCAAUGAUGCAAUCACAGGUCACUGCAGCCUUGACCUGCUGAACUCAAGCAAUCCUCCCAUCUCAGCCUCCUGAGUAGCUGGGACUUUAGGCAUGCG